GACGUAGGGCGCGAGCGUUGUCCGGAAUCAUUGGGCGUAAAGCGCGUGUAGGCGGUCCGGUAAGUCCGCUGUGAAAGCCAGGGGCUCAACCCUUGGAUGCCGGUGGAUACUGUCGGGCUUGAGUACGGAAGAGGCGAGUGGAAUUCCUGGUGUAGCGGUGAAAUGCGCAGAUAUCAGGAGGAACACCAAUUGCGAAGGCAGCUCGCUGGGACGUUACUGACGCUGAGACGCGAAAGCGUGGGGAGCAAACAGG
rnacentral:rRNA from 1 species